rnacentral:rRNA from 1 species
AACGAACGCUGGUGGCGUGCCUUAUACAUGCAAGUCGUGCGGGAUCCGUAGCAAUACGGUGAGAGCGGCGAACGGGUGAGUAACACGUGACUAACCUACCCCCUAGUCGAGAAUAGCCUCCCCAACGGGAGAAUAAUGCUGGAUAUAGAGGGGCACUUCAUGGUGCCUUGUCAAAAAGCCUUCGGGCGCUGGGGGAUGGAGUCGCGGCGGAUUAGCUUGUUGGCGGGGUAACGGCCCACCAAGGCGACGAUCCGUAGCCGGCCUGAGGGGGUGAUCGGCCACAUUGGGACUGAGAUACGGCCCAGACUCCUACGGGAGGCAGCAGUAGGGAAUAUUGCGCAAUGGGGGACACCCUGACGCAGCAACGCCACGUGUGGGAAGACGCAUUUCGGUGUGUAAACCACUGUCGGCGGGGAACAAUUAGGGCUAGGGCCCGGUUGAGUGCACCCGCAAAGGAAGCACCGGCUAACUUCGUG